rnacentral:rRNA from 1 species
GUCUUUUAGAAUUUAAUUAUAAGUUUAACCUGCCCAUUGAAUUAAUUUAAAAGGCUGCGGUAAUUUGACCGUACAAAGGUAGCAUAAUCAUUAGUUUUUUAAUUGAAAACUAGAAUGAAUGGUUGAAUGAAAUAUUAACUUUUUUAAUUUUAAAUAUUGAAUUUAACUUUUAAGUUAAAAGGCUUAAAUUUUUUUAAAGGACGAGAAGACCCUAUAGAGUUUUAUAAUAUUAUUUUUUAUUUUAUAAAAAGUUUAUUUAUUAUUAUAUUUAUUUUAUUAUUUUGUUGGGGCGAUAAUAAAAUUUAAUUAACUUUUAUUAAUUUUUACAUUAAUAAAUGGCCAAUUGAUCCGUUAAUGAUGAUUAUAAAUUUAAAUUACCUUAGGGAUAACAGCGUAAUUUUUUUUUAAGUUCUUAUUAAUAAAAAAUUUUGCGACCUCGAUGUUGGAUUAAGAGUAAAUUUUAGGUGCAGCAGUUUAAAAUUUAAGUCUGUUCGACUUUUAAAUUCUU